AGUGAACGCUGGCGGUAGGCCUAACACAUGCAAGUCGAACGGCAGCACAGUAAGAGCUUGCUCUUACGGGUGGCGAGUGGCGGACGGGUGAGGAAUACAUCGGAAUCUACUUUUUCGUGGGGGAUAACGUAGGGAAACUUACGCUAAUACCGCAUACGACCUACGGGUGAAAGCAGGGGAUCUUCGGACCUUGCGCGAUUGAAUGAGCCGAUGUCGGAUUAGCUAGUUGGCGGGGUAAAGGCCCACCAAGGCGACGAUCCGUAGCUGGUCUGAGAGGAUGAUCAGCCACACUGGAACUGAGACACGGUCCAGACUCCUACGGGAGGCAACAGUGGGGAAUAUUGGACAAUGGGCGCAAGCCUGAUCCAGCCAUACCGCGUGGGUGAAGAAGGACUUCGGGUUGUAAAGCCCUUUUGUUGGGAAAGAAAAGCAGCAGGUUAAUACCCCGCUGUUCUGACGGUACCCAAAGAAUAAGCACCGGCUAACUUCGUG
rnacentral:rRNA from 1 species